UAUGGUCAAGAAGAGAAGCGCAAACGGUGGAUGCCUUGGCAGUAAGAGGCGAAGAAGGACGUGGUAUUCUGCGAAAAGCCUGGGGGAGCUGAAAACGAGCGUUGAACCUGGGAUGUCCGAAUGGGGUAACCCGGCUAAUUUAUUAGUCAUUCAUACUUGAAUACAUAGGGUAUGGAAGCGAACUUGGGGAACUGAAACAUCUAAGUACCCAAAGGAAAAGAAAUCAAGAGAGAUUCUCUUAGUAGCGGCGAGCGAACGGGGAGGAGCCUGGCGUGAUUUAGCGUUGAUGUGAGUGGAAUUAUCUGGGAAGGUAAGCCGGAGAGGGUGAAGGCCCCGUACACGAAGCAUUGAUGUAGAACUAGGCACGCGGAGAAGUAGGCCGGAACACGCGAAAUUCUGGUUGAAGAUGGGUGGACCAUCAUCCAAGGCUAAAUACUCCUUACUGACCGAUAGUGAACGAGUACCGUGAGGGAAAGGUGAAAAGAACCCCGGAGAGGGGAGUGAAAUAGACCUGAAACCGUUUGCGUACAAGCAGUGGGAGCCUGACUUAGGUUAGGUGACUGCGUACCUUUUGUAUAAUGGGUCAGCGAGUUACUUUCAGUGGCGAGGUUAACCGGAUAGGGGAGCCGUAGAGAAAUCGAGUUUGAAUAGAGCGAUAGUCGCUGGGAGUAGACCCGAAACCGGGCGAUCUAGCCAUGUGCAGGAUGAAGGUUGGGUAACACCAACUGGAGGUCCGAACCGGGUAAUGUUGAAAAAUUAUCGGAUGACGUGUGGCUAGGAGUGAAAGGCUAAUCAAGCCCGGAGAUAGCUGGUUCUCCCCGAAAGCUAUUUAGGUAGCGCCUCGUGGGUUGAUUACUGGGGGUAGAGCACUGUUUCGGCUAGGGGGCUGUCAUGGCUUACCAAACCGAUGCAAACUCCGAAUACCGGAUAAUUGGACCACGGGAGACACACGGCGGGUGCUAACGUCCGUCGUGGAGAGGGAAACAACCCAGACCGCCAGCUAAGGUCCCGAAGUAUGAUUAAGUGGGAAACGAUGUGGGAAGGCAUAGACAGCCAGGAGGUUGGCUUAGAAGCAGCCAUCCUUUAAAGAAAGCGUAAUAGCUCACUGGUCGAGUCGGCCUGCGCGGAAGAUGUAACGGGGCUAAAAUCAUACACCGAAGCUGCGGAUGUGUAGUGAUACACGUGGUAGGGGAGCGUUCUGUAGGCCGAUGAAGGUUGACUGAGAAGUGAGCUGGAGGUAUCGGAAGUGCGAAUGCUGACAUGAGUAACGAUAAAGAGGGUGAAAAACCCUCUCGCCGGAAGUCUAAGGAUUCCUGCACGACGCUAAUCGGAGCAGGGUGAGUCGGCCCCUAAGGCGAGGCAGAGAUGCGUAGUCGAUGGGAACCAGGUUAAUAUUCCUGGACUUUCUGUAAGUGGUGAAGUGGGGACGAAGGAGGCUAGGUGAGCCGGGCGAUGGUUGUCCUGGUACUUGCAUGUAGGCGGAGAGACUUGGCAAAUCCGGUUUCUUGUUAACGCUGAGGUGCGAAGUGGUUCUGGCAUUUCGAUGCGCAGAGAAGUCACUGAUGCCAUGCUUCCAGGAAAAGCUGCUAGCCAUAACUUACGGAGAACCGUACCGCAAACCGACACAGGUAGACAGGUAGAGAAUACCAAGGCGCUUGAGAGAACUCGGGUGAAGGAACUAGGCAAAAUGGUACCGUAACUUCGGGAGAAGGUACGCCUUUGCUGGUGAAUUGCUUUACGUAAUGAGCUGGUGGAGGCCGCAGAGACCAGGUGGCUGCGACUGUUUAUUAAAAACACAGCACUCUGCAAAUUCGUAAGAAGACGUAUAGGGUGUGACGCCUGCCCGGUGCCGGAAGGUUAAUUGAUGCUGUUAUCCUGCCACCGGAUUGCUUGUAGAUGAAGGUGAACGACGACGAGUAAUGCGGUGGCAGGAGAAGCGGUUGAUCGAAGCCCCGGUAAACGGCGGCCGUAACUAUAACGGUCCUAAGGUAGCGAAAUUCCUUGUCGGGUAAGUUCCGACCUGCACGAAUGGCGUAACGAUGGCCACACUGUCUCCACCCGAGACUCAGUGAAAUUGAAAUCGCUGUGAAGAUGCAGUGUACCCGCGGCUAGACGGAAAGACCCCGUGAACCUUUACUACAGCUUUGCACUGGACUUUGAUGAUGACUGUGUAGGAUAGGUGGGAGGCUAUGAAGUGCGAACGCCAGUUUGCAUGGAGCCGACCUUGAAAUACCACCCUGUUGUUAUUGAGGUUCUAACUUAGGCCCGUAAUCCGGGUUGAGGACAGUGUAUGGUGGGUAGUUUGACUGGGGCGGUCUCCUCCCAAAGAGUAACGGAGGAGCACAAAGGUACCCUCGGUACGGUCGGACAUCGUACCAAGAGUGUAAAGGCAUAAGGGUGCUUGACUGCGAGACGGACGUGUCGAGCAGGAACGAAAGUUGGUCUUAGUGAUCCGGUGGUUCUGAAUGGAAGGGCCAUCGCUCAACGGAUAAAAGGUACUCCGGGGAUAACAGGCUGAUACCGCCCAAGAGUUCAUAUCGACGGCGGUGUUUGGCACCUCGAUGUCGGCUCAUCACAUCCUGGGGCUGAAGCAGGUCCCAAGGGUAUGGCUGUUCGCCAUUUAAAGUGGUACGCGAGCUGGGUUUAGAACGUCGUGAGACAGUUCGGUCCCUAUCUGCCGUGGGCGUAGGAAAAUUGAGAGGGGCUGCUCCUAGUACGAGAGGACCGGAGUGGACGAACCUCUGGUGCGCCGGUUGUCACGCCAGUGGCAUGGCCGGGUAGCUAAGUUCGGACGGGAUAACCGCUGAAAGCAUCUAAGCGGGAAGCCUUCCUCAAGAUGAGUUUUCCCUUGAAGCCCGUUGAAGACGACGACGUUGAUAGGCGAGGUGUGGAAGCGCAGUAAUGUGUGAAGCUAACUCGUACUAAUUGGCUGAUUGUCUUGACCAUA
rnacentral:rRNA from 1 species